CGAAGGUGACCUACCUCAUAGCGGGGGAUAACUAUUGGAAACGAUAGCUAAUACCGCAUGACAAUUAAGUACUCAUGUACUAAAUUUAAAAGGAGCAACUGCUUCACUAUGAGAUGGACCUGCGUUGUAUUAGCUAGUUGGUGAGGUAACGGCUCACCAAGGCAACGAUACAUAGCCGACCUGAGAGGGUGAUCGGCCACACUGGGACUGAGACACGGCCCAGACUCCUACGGGAGGCAGCAGUAGGGAAUCUUCGGCAAUGGGGGCAACCCUGACCGAGCAACGCCGCGUGAGUGAAGAAGGUUUUCGGAUCGUAAAGCUCUGUUGUUACAGAAUAACGGUAAUGGGAGUGGAAAAUCCAUUACGUGACGGUAACUCACCCCAAUCGCACGGCUAAUACGUACCUACAUUCACGGUAAUAAGUAG
rnacentral:rRNA from 1 species